rnacentral:rRNA from 1 species
AUUGAACGCUGGCGGCAGGCUUAACACAUGCAAGUCGAGCGAGCGGCGGACGGGUGAGUAAUGUCUGGGAAACUAGCUUAUGGAGGGGGAUAACUACGGGAAACUGUAGCUAAUACCGCGUACCAUAGGAUGAGCCCAAGUGGGAUUAGGUAGUUGGUGAGGUAAAGGCUCACCAAGCCGACGAUCCCUAGCUGGUCUGAGAGGAUGACCAGCCACACUGGGACUGAGACACGGCCCAGACUCCUACGGGAGGCAGCAGUGGGGAAUUUUGCGCAAUGGGGGCAACCCUGACACAGCCAUGCCGCGUGAAUGAAGAAGGCCUUCGGGUUGUAAAGUUCUUUCAGUCGGGAGGCGUUACCGACAGAAGAAGCACCGGCUAACUCCGUGCCAGCAGCCGCGGUAAUAC